AAAGACAUGGACAGCAAGACUCCUGCUGACAUCAAAGAGGAGGUGGCAUUCUACCUGGCAGCAAGCGGCAUUGCAGUGGAUGGUGAUCCACUGACAUGGUGGAAAAGCAAUGAGUUUAAAUACCCUCAUAUUGCUAAGAUGGCAAGAUGCUAUCUCGCUGUGCCAGGCUCUUCAGUUCCUUCCGAGAGUGUUCUCAACAGCAGGGGACAUAGUGACUGCAAAGAGGUCCACACUCUCCCCAGACAAUGUAGACACCCUUGUCUUUUUGAAAAUGAAUUUAAAAUUAUAAGCUCAUGUAUGCUUUGUUUUCUUUCUUUAAUUCUUCUUUGAUAAUAAUGCUCUUGUUUCAAGGAAGAUGAUGUGCCUUCUUAUGUUGCACUUUAAUUUGUUUUUUAUUAAUGGUCAUUGGUCCAUGUUUAAAGGAAGGAGAUAUGCCUUUUUAUGUUGCACUUUAAGUUGUUUUUCAUUGAUUAUGUUGAAAAGAAGAUGUUAAUUGUACACUUUAAGUUGAUUUUAUAUAUUUCAAUUGAAUAAUUUAAAAGUGUUAAUAAACAAAAAGACAAAACAUGUUUAUUUGUCUUGUCUAUUUUUUUUUAUUUUUUUUUUUGCUGAUCCGAAAAAUGAUCCGAUCCGUGACUCUGAUCCGAGGAACGAUCCGAACCGUGAGUUUUUUGAUCCGUUGCACCCCUAUACCUCACCAGUAAAAAAUACACCCCUAUUGCUUUACCAUUGAGCUGACCUUACAUUAGCCAAACACUAACUCAGGGCUCUCAAGUCUCACGCAUUGAGCGUGAGACUCACGCAAUUCGGUCUUAUCUCACGCACUCCCGCCAUACAUCGAAUUCCUCACGCUGAAAAAACCUCUCGGCUAUUUAAUGCUUGAAUGCAGGGGUGCUCAAUACGCCGAUCGAUUGGUCCGCUGCAGAGCUCAGACGCCGGUCUGCGCGCAUCGGGAUGGAGCAAAAAAAUAGUCACUAGCCCCCCCACCCCGGCAACAACUCUCGGCUCGAUGCCGGCGCGCGCAACGCUCAGCUGCGAUGCUCACACAGGUGAGCAUCGGGUGCUGAUGGAAAUGUCACGCUUGCCUGUCUUCAAAACUUGAGAGCCCUGCUAACUGAGUGAGCUCAGGUAAUUAGGGUGACCAGACGUCCGGAUUUAGGCCGAACAAUCCAGAUUUUCUAUUUUCCGAGUCCCGGAAAAGACGAUUUUGCAGCUCGGCUCGACAAUUUGGGUCCAAACAACUAAACUAAACAUGGUAAGUUGAUGAAACUCACACAUGCUAUGCUUGAGUGGUUGUGCUUGGUGAUUACAUGCUUGUUGUUUGUGGAGGACUUAGUAAAAUGAGUGAAAUUACGGCAUGAAAAAUGGAGUCACCAUAUUUAAUCAUAAGGUUCCUGGAGAAACUAAAAUUCAUAUGAAAUGAGCAUUUCUUGACAUAUACCCUCUGCAGUAACAAGACAUACUUCGUGUAUUGUCUUUAAAAAUACGGCAAUACAGCUUAGGACUUUGUUUAAUGUUGUAUAACACAAUACAGUGAUUCAGAGAGAAUGUUAACCCAUUUCUAGACAGUCAAGCUAUAAAUAGUGAAUAUGAGUGAUUUUUGUCAGAUUAUGACCUUAUAACAGUUGUUUUAUUACAUGUGUUUAAUGUGUUAGGGACAGUAACAGAUGGGCACCAUGAAGUACAAGAGGUGGGGCAUGGACUGUUUACCUCCUCCUGGGGUCAAAGGUCGUGUCUGAAGGACUUCAGAAUCAAGGUCUCUUUGGCGGCCAACAGCCAGAUCUAGCUCCAGUAUUGCAAAUAGAGAAGUAACUAUUUAGAGAGGAACAGGCCGUUGGUCUUGAGGUGGCCUGCUGCACACGAAGACGCUGCUCACAAGUCCCCAAGAGACUGAAGCACUUUAGACAAUCUUUACUUUUUGAGCCGUUAAAUGUUAACCAAAUUUGUUUGGUUUUCUUUAUGCUUUUAAAACAUGAAUGUAUCUCUUUAUUAUUUAUGUGACCUGUGAUUUAAUGUUGACAUCUUAAGUCCACAAAUGUUAUGCUUGUCAUGUUAUGAAGACUUAGGACACGCUGGAGGGAUUCUAUCUCCCGGCUGGCCUGAACGCCUCGGGAGCCCCCAGAAUGAGCUGGAAAAUGUUGCAGGUGAGAGGGAAAUCUGGGUCAGCCUGCUGGGUCUGCUGCCCGAUCCCGGAAUAAGCGGAUGACAAUGGAUGGAUGGAUGUUAUGCAUUGAGGCACUCAGCACUUUUCAUCUCAAUGGUCAGUUUUUGAACACCACAAUGUGAAUAAAUACAAAUACUGUGAACAAACUC